rnacentral:lncRNA from 1 species
GAAAAGUGGAAGUUCCAAAGGGAAAGAAAAUGAAGAGUAGAGAAUUAAAACUUGUAGAAUAUUUUGAAAAUUCUAAGGUUUGUGCUCAACCCCAUUUGAAUAAAUUUAAGAAUUUGUUAAUUAGGUUUUAUUUGAAAUUUUACUAUCCUAGUAGAGGUAGACCAAGUGAAUAAUAGUUUAAUUAUAUUUGUAUAAUCAAAGUUUGAGAAAUAAUAGAUUUAAUAGAUAGAAAAUUUUAAAAUUAAUAUGUAAUUUAAUCAAAAAUUAGGUUAUGGAACAAAUGAAAUGACUUAUAUUAUUGGAUAGAAAUAUAAUUUGGUUAGAUAUAGUGAUAAUGAAAAGAUUAGUAGACUAGAAAAAAAAAUAUAAAAAUAAAAAUAAUAGUUAAUUAAUUAAGAAUUAAAUUAUAAAUAUAAUUUAUGUAGUUGAAUUAAAUUAAUAAACUUACAUGAUACGACAAUGUUUAAAAAUACAGUUGUAAUAUGAUAAAGUAUUAUAGUUGGAAUAACUGAUAGUUACACUGUAUUGAUAGUUUUUGUCCCCCUGUUUAAGUGUAUAAAUUAUUUAAAGUCUGGCCCUAGUAAGUUUGGUGGAAAUUGUGGAGUAGUUUAAGGGUGUGGCAUGCCAUAUAUAGAUCUUACAGUACUGCACUACAGUUACACUGAUUCUUAGGAUACAAUGAGGUAUCCUACAGUUAUAGAAUCGGCUUUUGAGCCAUACAGUUAUUUGGCACCUUGUGCCCUACAGUUACAGUUUCCUUAUCUGACUUAACAGUCCCAUUUAAAUUUAUAGAGGCCAACAAAAAAAUAAUAAAUAAUUAAAAGUAUUAAGAAAAAUAAAACUUUUUACAUGAUGAAGAAAAAAAAAAA